GUCCACGUGACACUGAAGGUCACUUGAUCUUCCAUACAAACUUGUCUAUUUUCUAGAAAUAUUUUAAGCUCAUUCACAGAUCACUUUUUUUUUAUUAAUUUUGUUUGGUACAUCUGUUUAAAUUUAGGACUUGAAACAAAUAAUAUGCACUGUCUUUGCAUCUCCAAUGUUUAGCUGAGUAUCUUCUCAUGGUUAACUAAUGACAUUUAUGGACUGCUUUUGGACAGUUGCAAUGAAUGUCUUUAUGUAUUUGGCUUACAUCUACACAAUCUUGAAUUUAUUUUAUUUGCGGUUUUGUUUGGGUCCCUUACAAGUCUACU